AUUUGACUGGACAAUCUUGAAGUAUCCACAGUUUGGCUCUAGCUCCACUCUAGCUCAAAACCAAGAUCGAGUCUUACAUGUCAACCAGCUUUGUAUCCUCCAGUGCCAUCUGGUGAGAGACCAGAGAAACCUUCGGAACCUGCAAACCUGUAGCUUUGGCUAAGUUGAGGAAGAAGCAAGGAGGAAGAAGGAAAUGAAUUAAAUGAUGAAUCGCAAACUUACUGGCUGUUCCAACAGAUAAUUGUGAAGGUGAUGUGUCAAGCUCUGGUCUGGUAGAGACUAAAGAAAGGGUAUUAUAAUCAAAAAGGCAGAGUGAGGAAAGUAAUUGAUAAUUGUAUACUUGAGUCA